rnacentral:rRNA from 1 species
UAUUGCACAAUGGGGGGAACCCUGAUGCAGCGACGCCGCGUGGGUGAAGAAGCGCCUCGGCGCGUAAAGCCCUGUCAGCAGGGAAGAAGAAAGACGGUACCUGACUAAGAAGCCCCGGCUAACUACGUGCCAGCAGCCGCGGUAAUACGUAGGGGGCAAGCGUUAUCCGGAUUUACUGGGUGUAAAGGGAGCGGAGACGGCUGUGCAAGUCUGAAGUGAAAGCCCAGGGCUCAACCCUGGGACUGCUUUGGAAACUGUGGAGCUAGAGUGCUGGAGAGGUAAGUGGAAUUCCUAGUGUAGCGGUGAAAUGCGUAGAUAUUAGGAGGAACACCAGUGGCGAAGGCGGCUUACUGGACAGUAACUGACGUUGAGGCUCGAAAGCGUGGGGAGCAAACAGG